UUGACGGAGAGUUUGAUCCUGGCUCAGGACGAACGCUGGCGGCGCGCUUCAUACAUGCAAGUCGAGCGGGGUCCAUCGGGCUUGCCCGAGAAGACCUAGCGGCGAACGGGUGCGUAACACGUGAGCAACCUG
rnacentral:rRNA from 1 species